rnacentral:lncRNA from 1 species
CCCACCAUUCUUAGUGCUUCUGGGGCAGGUAAACCAGCUAGAGCAUUAAAGCUGAUUUGGGCUUCAUUGUGGGUCAGACUUCUUUCUUCUGAAAGAAGGGAAUUAGGGUCCACCCUAAGGGCCGAUGACUCCCCUUUAUGUCGUCAUCCUCAUCUAUGGCAACCAAUAAAAAGAAACGACCCUUGCACUUGUGCCCGGGGCUAAAUUUUUCAUCACAAUUGUAG